rnacentral:rRNA from 1 species
GACGAACGCUGGCGGCGUGCUUAACACAUGCAAGUCGAGCGGUAAGGCCCUUUCGGGGGUACACGAGCGGCGAACGGGUGAGUAACACGUGGGUGACCUGCCCUCAGCUCUGGGAUAAGCCUGGGAAACCGGGUCUAAUACCGGAUAUGACUCCAUGACGCAUGUUGUGGGGUGGAAAGCCUUGUGCGGCUGAGGAUGGGCCCGCGGCCUAUCAGCUUGUUGGUGGGGUGAUGGCCUACCAAGGCGACGACGGGUAGCCGGCCUGAGAGGGCGACCGGCCACACUGGGACUGAGACACGGCCCAGACUCCGUACGGGAGGCAGCAGGUGGGGAAUCUUGCGCAAGUGGGCGAAAGCCUGACGCAGCGACGCCGCGUGAGGG